rnacentral:lncRNA from 1 species
AUUGUUUUAAAAAUCACUUAAAUUAUAUUAUGGUCAUGAAUUGCACACUGAACUUUAUUGUGCUUCAUAAUACACACUGAACUUUACCAUUUAGCUCUCCAUCCAACACUGUCAAAAAAUCCAUCUGUUGGUUGCUGACGUGGCGGACGGAAUUCCUAGUUGAUGUCUGACGGCCAUUAACUUGGGAGAAAAAGUAGGGAACAAUUUCUGUAAUCUGAAAAUGCUUUUCCAAGCGCCACUACCACAGAAACUACUUCGGGCGGCAGCCUUAUCGCGGGCACCGCCAGACCAAUUAUUUCUCUAACCCUAAACCAACCCACCGCCUAUAACCACCACCACCAUCAUACCCAGACUCUGACGCCGCCGCCGCCGCCAUGGACAUCCUCUACCAAAAUCAUCGGCAGACCUAAACCAACAUCGAUCGACGCCCAACUACACUAUACUUCCAGUAAACUCAACUUGUUCACCACUGUCGACUGUCCAAGAGUCAGCCGCCCAAACCCAAAAAAUUCAAACCACAAUCCAUUACCACUGCCGUCUGUCGCUUCAAUCAACCACAAUCCGAACCCAAAAAAUUCAUCCACCUAGUUUAUCUGUCUUGCUGGACACAAAAACAUUACAAUCCACCACUAUUUUGCCGCUAUUACAAACGGAAUCCACCUCUCGAUCGUCACUUACCUCUGUCAUCCACCACUUUCCUUUUUUCAAUUCAACUCUUAUCCAAUUGCAAAGAAUAUAAUUUUGAUGAUUUUAGUUUGGGUUUGGACGUGACUGUAGGGUGGUGGGUUUUGGUUUUUUGUGGGCAUGGCGUGGGUAGUCGAGGAGGAAGAACAUUUCUGGACUAUUGUUUAAGUCCGACGACACGGUAGCAAGGAGCUACCGAAGAAGAAAGGGAGGCGGACAUUUGGACUGACAUUAACAUCGGUUUUUCUG